AGAACUACUAAAGUACAUAACUACAAACCUGGCAAGCGCAUGUUGAAUCAAAUAUGGAAUCAUACCAUUUGUGAUAUCAAAAGCUACAAGAUAACAGUUAAAAUAUAUUAAAGGAGGCGAAUAUAUUAUGAAAAAGAAAUCUUGGAUGUGUAACAAACCUGACUGUGGCUAAACAUCAGUUUGAAAUGUCAUCAUAUAGGAGUAUGCUUUAAACUUAGUCUCUCUGGUGCAUUUCUAGAGUAUCUCUUACGGCGUUAAAGAAUGACUAAAUUAGAGAGAUACCAGGGGCAUAUCAUCUUAUGGCAGAUAGGCUGACGGUGACGCUAACGUUUGGGCUCGUUGUAAGUGAUUUUGUUGCUUUACGCUCUAGUCGAAGAUAUAUAUAUAUUUUUUUGCUUAAAUGUCAACAUUUUUUGGAAUAUGUAAUUGAUGAUGACAAACUAAAACUGCUAUCCUUUUUCGAAUAAGUUUAAAUAAAAAAGCUUAUCGUCGAAUUGAAAUUGAA